CUUGAUUCAGCGUAUCUAGUUAUCGAGCAACAAAGUAUCAAUGCAGCCCAAGAUUACCACCUCUUUCGAUCUUGAGUCAAGAGAUGUACUCGGCCAAUCUUGGGCAAAAAAAUUUCACGCAAAUGAUAUUGCUGGUCUGAAAGCUGACUGUCCAUACUUUCGGGCAGCAAUGAAGAUCACUCAAAAGCUUGGCCCAAUUCCUCUCCCAACUGCCAAGGAGAUUGAUGGGAUAUAUCUGGACAAGAACUAUGAUGAAGCUGUGGAGUGGCUGAAGAUUUUCAAACAAGAUUGGAAGAACUUUGGUGUUACCGUGAUGUGUGACUCAUGGACUGGGCCGACUGGCAUGAGUGUUAUCAACUUCAUGGUGUAUUGCAAUGAAAAAAUGUUUUUCCAUAAAUCCAUUGAUGCUUAUGGUCAAACUCAAAAUUCUGAAUUUAUCUAUAGACAGAUUAAAAAGGUUGUUGUUGAUGAGAUAGGACAUGAGAAUGUGGUUCAAAUUAUAACCGACAAUGGUUCAAAUUAUAAAAAAGCUUGUAAAACUCUUGUAGAACAACCGGAGUACAACCAUAUUGUUUGGCAACCAUGUGCUGCCCAUACAAUCAACCUCAUGCUUAAAGAUAUUGCUAAGUUUCCGGAAGUUGAUGUGAUAGUUAAAAGUGCCAAGCAAAUCUGUAGGUUUUUUCAUAAUCACAAUAACCUGCAUGAUAGCAUGAAAAAGAAUGUUGGCGGUGAACUGAUAAAACCCAAUGCCACUCGGUUUGGUACGGUGUUCAUGUUCCUUGAGAGUUAUCAUGAAAAGAAGGAUCAAUUUAGGAAAUGGAUGGUAUCUGAUGAUUGGAAGAAAAGUAUUUGGAGGAAGGAUGCUGAUUAUGUGUUUUCCGAGGCAUUACUAUCUAGUAAUAUGUGGUGGGCUGCCUUGGAGUGGGUUCUUAAUCUGUUAGAGCCACUUUAUAAAGCCCUUAGGUACGCUGAUACUCAAAAGCAAUGCACCUUGUCUGGCUUCAAGAAGAGCAUGAUGACAGCUGUACAAACUUUGGAAGGAAGGGCAAUGGAACGAAAAGGAAGAGAGUAUUGGAAGAAGAUGAGGAUGACUACAUUGAUUGUGAUGAUGAUGAAGAAGAAGAUGAGUACAUAGACAUUGAUGAUGAGGAUGAAUGCGGAGAUGAUAGCGCAAGUGAAGCUGAUGGAGAAGAUUCAACUACCCGAGUUGAAAAAGAUCAACCAAGCCAAGAUGGAAACGAGGUUGAGGAAAGAAAUGAUGGAGGUUUGCUGAACUGCCGUAGGUCUCGACGAGGAAAGCAAAGCACGAAGCUGAAGGACUUGACGAGCCUUUACAAUUGACAGGUAAGUUCAUAGGUAAGUUCAUAGAAGCAUUUGGAGCAUCGUAUGUGGUCGCAAGGUUGCUGUCCAGUGAAGAAAUGACACAAGAAUGGAAGAAGGAAGCUUCUGGUUGCAUUUUGUGGUGUAUGAGAACUCUGAAUGUUAUUUUGUGGGAUGCAUGAAAUGUUGUCCAGGACUAGUUGUGGACAAUUCAUUUGGAUGGAUGUUCUUUUGCUGUGAUCUUGGAUGUAGUUAAACUAUGCUACGGAUUGGCCUGGAUGUAGAACCUAAGUUAUGAUUGGUAGACUAUAAUCUUUA